AAAAAAAAAAACUGUAUGUUUCCGUGUCCAACGUUUGACUGUCCGUCUUAUAAGAAAUUUUUUUUAUAAUUAGUAUUUUUAUUAUUGUUAAAUGAUAAAACAUGAUUAAUACUUUAUGCGUGACUUAUCUUUUUAAUUUUUUUUUCAUUUUUUAAAUAAGACAGACGGAACAUUGAAACACAGGGUUUGUCUUUUU
rfam:Oryza glaberrima chromosome 1 Oglab01_0048_8, whole genome shotgun sequence.